rnacentral:rRNA from 1 species
UAGGGAAUCUUCCGCAAUGGACGAAAGUCUGACGGAGCGACACCGCGUGGAGGACGACGGCCUUCGGGUUGUAAACUCCUUUUCUCAAGGAAGAAGAUCUGACGGUACUUGAGGAAUAAGCCCCGGCUAAUUACGUGCCAGCAGCCGCGGUAAUACGUAAGGGGCAAGCGUUAUCCGGAAUCAUUGGGCGUAAAGCGUCCGUAGGUGGUUAUGCAAGUCUGUCAUUAAAUGUCGGAACUCAAUAUCGGCGCCGUGAUGGAAACUGCAUGACUAGAGGAUGAGAGAGGUAUAUGGAAUUGCGCAAGUAGGGGUAAAAUCCGUAGAUAUGCGCAGGAACACCAAAAGCGAAGGCAAUAUACUGGCUCAUUCCUGACACUCAGUGGACGAAAGCGUGGGGAGCAAAACGG